rnacentral:sRNA from 1 species
CCUACUAUUAGCCUACAGUGUUAAUGGAUGGACAUGUGAAAAAAAAAACGAUGAACGCCAGAUAGUGUGUCAAAGACACAAAUAUUGAGCUAUUUAUUUCAAGAUGAUGACGUCUUAGCAAGUUCAAACUCGGGACUAUUGUGAUGAAAGCUGGAAACGCCUACCACACCACCUGGAAGUCAUCUGGUUAAUGGAAUACUCUGGUCAGGUGUGGAACCAGUGUUUGUUUUCCGCGUCAUUGACGCAAUUGACCAUCACAGACAAUUAAUACCACACAGAUUGCAAACAUUGAAUACAGUCCAACUUCCGGGUGUAAACUUGACAAUGCUGGAUUGGAACUGUGGCUCAGAACGUUUGGCUAGCUCUUGUUAGAAUGUUGUGUAUUUUAUGUGUACUGGCACAGUUGUAAGACAAAUGUCAUCAAAGAUAAUAAAGAUAUUAUUAUUAUUAUUGUUA